rnacentral:sRNA from 1 species
AAGUUGCGUGAGGGAUAGGAGCGGCAUCCUUUUUCGGUGGCUGAGGCUCUCGAAGCUACCGAAAAAGAUACAGCGGAUAGCCCGACCUGAA